CUACAAGAUAUGCUAACGUUUUAAUUAACACAAAAACAGAUGUAAUUUUAUUUAAAUUCUGUAGAAUUAUCAUUAUAUAAACAAAAAGAAUGCACCAUUUCUAUCUAUAAUGUGGAAGUCUUAUUUUUAAAGACAGGAGCAGCAUAAAUUUCAGGAGGAUCAUCCUUGUUUUCCAUAAUAUAAUUUUCAAUCUCUUCGAGCUUCCAAGCAUAUUUGGCACACAACAUGUUACAAUUAACGGCCACGGUAGGAUUGUGUAAAGCAUGUUGCAAAGCCAUUCUUGCAACAUGAUAACGAGAGGUAUUGUUACACAUCAUCAUAUUAAAAGGAGUGGUAGUAGUACCUUCCUCUCGAUAGCCCUCCAUAGUGACCCGUGUACCUUGUAUGCGAUCAAACAAGAGAGCCUUCAAGUCCAUCACAUAACCGUGAUAGUUGAAAUGAACAUGGCGAUCUUUGGUAAACAAAGAAUCAAAUUCCGCAGGAUUCAUACCAUGGGGAUGUAAGCUCGAAAGUACCAUCAAGUCAGUGACGUUAAUGACACGCACUCGGAGCUCAGGAAUGUCAUUUUGAAGCAUCUCUGCGGCUUUAACUACUUCAAACAUAAUCUCAUUUCCGACGCCGGCAAUAACAACAUCAGGAUUUUCGCCAUUAUCUGUACUAGCAAACUUCCAAACACUAGCACCGGCCUUGCAAUGAUGUUCGGCCUCUUCAACAGAUAGGUAGGCUGGUUGUGGAUUUUUACUAGAAACCAUAAGGUUGAUAGUAUUCUCAGACUUCAUGCAUCGGGCGACGGUUGCUAAGAAGCAAUUGGCAUCCGGUGGGAAGUAUACGCGGCUAACACCAGGUUUCAGAGAGAGCAUAGUGGUGAUAAACCUGGGUGAUUGAUGGGAGAAACCGUUAUGCUCUUGUCUUGCCCAAGUACUGGAAGUAACAUAGUUCAAGCUACCAAAUUUUCCAUGCCAUCCGGUCUCCAAGCCCAUCUUCAAAAAUUUGGAGUACUGAACAAGCAUACUAACAACAAUAGUCAUAAAGGCUUCAUAUGAGGGGAAAAUCGCGGUACGUCCAGUUAAAGUAUAACCCUGCAUGAAACCUUGGCAAAGGUGCUCUGAAAGGACUUCGGUAACGCGACCACGCUUUGCCAUGAGCUCUGGAUCAGUUUGCAUGGUACGAUAUGAGUGCUUCAAAGCGCCAUCUAAUUUAUUACUUUCCAACUCAUCGGGUGAGAAAAUUCUAAGGGUUGAAUCGUUGGUUACGAGGAGUUCAUCAAGAUAUUGACCAACGACCGAAGUGGCACUAGUGGUUUCUCCCUUCUUGACACCGUAUUUUUUCCAAUCAGGUACCUUCAAAGGUAGAUAAGAAUUGUAUGUCUCAUGACGCUGACCCAUGCGCUUCUCACGAGGCGGAAGAUGCUCGGUGAUGCCCUUAGUAGGAAGUCCAUGUUCGUCUAAGAAGUCUUGGCAGUUGUAGCUGUUCAGCCAAUCCUUUAGAAGAUUGCGCUGGUUGGUAUCGGUGCGAGCCAAUUUCAAAGGAACUUGGUGAGCACGGAAGGUACCUUCUAAAAAUUUGCCAUUCAAAUACUUGGGACAUCCUUUACCCUUAGGGGUACGAAGGAUAAUCAUGGGCCAUCUGGGUUUGAUUUCUUCUCUGUUAACACGAGCGCGAUGUUGGAUGUCAUGAAUGCGUUCAACGGCCCAAUCCAUAGUUGCAGCCAUAACCCUGUUUUGGUCGGGGGUAUCGUUUACAAUGGCAACUUCAUAGCCAAAACCGCUAAACAAAGAGAGAAGCUCACUAUCAUCCAUGCAACCGUAAAUGGUACGCUCGGAAAUCUUGUAACCAUUAAGUUCCAAAACAGGAAUCACAGCACCCGAUUCAGCAGGAUCCAAGAAUUUAUGAGCAUGCCAAGAAGUGGCAGUGGGGCCGGUCUCUGCCUCACCAUCACCGACAACGCAAGUUACAAUCAGGUCGGGACGAUCAAGAACUGCACCGUAACUGACGGACAACGCAUAACCCAAUUCACCGCCCUCGUGAAUGGCACCAGGGACCUCGGCGUUGACAUGAGAAGGAAAACCACCGGGAAGGGAGAAGGUGUUAAUAAGGUUGUUCAAGCCUUCCUUGGUAAAUUGGUAUCGAGGGUAAAAGGGGCCCAAAGAAUCUUCAAGGAAAAGAGCCGAUAAAAUGGCAGGAGCACCAUGGCCAGGGCCUACGACAAAGAGCAUGUUGAGAUCAUAUUUAUUAAUGAUACGAUUACAGUGAGAGUAAACGAUGCUCAAGCCGGGACAAGUACCCCAAUGGCCUAGCAGUCUAGUUUUGAUAUCUUUUUCCUCGAGGUCACCGCCGGUGUAGAGACCGUUGGAAAGGAAAAUCAGGGAAGCUGCGAGGUAAUCACAUGCACGUUGAAAACGAUGGACAUUGGCAACCUCUUCGUCGGUAAUCUUUGAAGUGUCGAUUUUAGCUUCGAGGGUUUUUAAAGAGUCAGGAAGACGCGAGGGCAUAGCAGGAGGAUCGGGGUGUUUUUCGGCAAUUUCAACUUGUUUCGCUAAAUCCUCGGGAGUCGAGUUAGGGAUAUCGUUUUGAGUAGCCAUAUUGAAGAGGAAUGUUUUUAUAAUCUAAAAUCAAUUAAACGGAGUUUGAAACAGUUUGUGAAUAAAUGGAAAUUCGUCAAGUCGUAAAUGAUAAAUAUUCGUGAAAUAAGCACACAUACACACAGAGUAUAUAGGAAGGAGGA
rnacentral:lncRNA from 1 species